UGGCCUGAAAUCAGGUAGGACUACCCGCUGAACUUAAGCAUAUCAAUAAGCGGAGGAA
rnacentral:rRNA from 1 species